rnacentral:tRNA from 1 species
AUUAGGAUGGCAGAUUAGUGCAUAGGAUUUAAGAUCCUAAUAGGAAAUAUUCUAUAUUUCUUCUAAUA